GGGGCUAGUCCCUGCCUAAAGGGAUCACAGAUUACCUUCAGUGGUUGGGGAGGAGUAGUUGGAUUUUCAACAGCAGGGAUCGACUGGAAUCCCCAUGUAAUAGGUGUGGUAUGUGUACUCUAUUUCUUCCCUCAUGGUGUCUAGGCACUGCUACACACCAGGCUGGAAGGAAGCAGAGGCCAGAAGAGAAUCCUUCUGGUCGCCAUCUGAGCCUGGAGCUAAGGCUGUUCCACAGCCCUCUCUACACAGGUUCCGCCAGAGAGAGCUGGUCUCCCAGGAGUGCUGACAGGGCUUGCAGGCCCACAGGAGGGACAAGCUCCAGCCAGAGACAGAAAGACCAACACCAGAAAUAACCAGAUGGCAAAAGGCAAGCGCAAGAACCUUACCAACAGAAACCAAGGCUACUUGGCAUCAGACCCCAGUUCUCCCAUCACAGCAAGUCCUGGAUACCUCAACACACCGGAAAAGCAAGAUAUGGAUUUAAAAAUCACAUCUCAUUAUGCUGAUAGAGGAUUUUAAGAAGGACAUAAAUAACUCCCUUAAAGAAGUACAGGAGAACACAAGUAAACAAAUAGAAGCUUUAAAGAGGAAACAAAAAUCCCUUAAAGAAUUUCAGGAAAACACAACUGAACAGAUGAAGGAAUUAAACAAAACCAUCCAGGAUCUAAAAAUGGAAGUAGAAACAAAAAGAAAUCACAAAGGGAGACAUCUCCCCGGAUUUUAAUGGAACAGCUCUCUUAGACAAUCUUAGUUUAAUUUGCACUGGUUAGAGUCUACUGUCUGGUCUCCUUGGUUUCUCUAGUCCAGAGGAUGGGCAACCCACACGGAGAUACAAGACCAUUUGAAAGAUGCCUGAUUGAAAGAUUGGAUUGAGCUGCCGAUUCCUGUGAGCUGUACUGCUGAUGUCCUGACAAUGCAGAUUGGAUUUGCUCCAAAGAACUAUUUCUAAACAGGUUCUUCUUUGCCCUAUUAAUCUUUCCUUCCCACUACCUCUGGUGUGGUGGGCUAGAAGGGACAUUAAAACAUUUAAGAACAACAACCCUCGAACUGUGAGGCUGUCAGCUUCAGACAAGAGAGACUAUUUACUUAAAUGGCCAAUUUUUGUUUAAAAUGGCCACUCAAAUUAAAAGGAAAAGUGAGGAUCUGGAGAGAGGCUCAGCAGUUAAGAACACUGACUGAUCUUCCAGAGGACCAGAGAUCAAUUCUUAGCAGCCACAUGGCGGCUCACAACCAUCUGUAACGGGCUCCCAUACCGUCUUCUGGUGUGUCUGAAGAUAGCUACAUUGUACUCAUUUAUUAUAAAAUAAAUAAAUAAAUCUGCUCUUCCGAAGGUCCUGAGUUCAAAUCCCAGCAACCACAUGGUGGCUCACAACCAACCGUAAUGAGAUCUGACGCCCUCUUCUGGUCUGAAGUCAGCUACAGUAUUUAUGUAUAAUAAUAAAAAAAGUGAAAGUGGGCGAA
rnacentral:lncRNA from 1 species